CUCAGGGUCACUCCCCCAGCAUUCCACUGGCACUGCCAGGACCUCAGCCGCUCCUCUCGCCCUGCAGGGAACUGACCCCUCUCUGCCCCUCUCUGGGGCUGGAAAUACCUCUGGGCAGCCUCCCUCCUCCAAUCCUGAGCAAGAUGCUGCUCCGGAAGUGCGGAACUUGGUAGUUCAAGUGAAAUAGCAGAUUUGCAAAAAAAUGGAAAAUGAAAAUUUUGAGCUGCCAGGCCUGGGGAAAGAAGCAGCAGGAUCCUUGCUUUCAAGACCACUGUCACCAGAUAUGCGAUCCACCAUGAGUAGCUAUUCAAGAUAAGCUUUUUAUCCAACUUUGUGGACAAAACGUCAAAAGAAGAUCAAGAAAAAGCAGAUGAGACAUUAGUUCGAGCUAUAUUUGCAAGUGGUACACCUCUUUCCAUUACUGAAAAUCAAUACGGGAAGGAACAUUGCAAACCAAUUCGCCCAUCAUAUCCAUUACCAUCCCGUUAUUGCUUAUCACAUUCUCUCUUAGAUAGAGAGUAUGACAGAGUUCAAACAAUGGUUAUUCAAAGGAUUGGUCAAGCUAAAUCACUGACUCUGAUGUCAGAUAGAUGGACUGACAUACAAAGAAAUCCUUUAUUGAACACAUUAUGUUAGCAACACCUGAACCAAUAUUCCUGAAAGCAACUGCUACCAAAUCUUCUCGUCAUAUAGGUGAAUACAUAGCCAAACUACUGAGUGAAGAGGUUGAAAAUGCAGGUCCCUACAGAGUACAAGCCCUUGUAACUGAUAAUGCGAGUAACAUGAAAGCUGCAUACAAGUAUUAAAGGCAAAGUAUCCUCAUUUAAUAGUAUUUGGCUGUCUUGCUCAUGGGUUGAAUCUUCUGGCAAAGGACAUAGUAAGUGUGAAUAAAAUGAAGACAAUAUUGGCAAACUGCAAAGUGACUGUGAAGGUACCAACAGUCAUCAUGUUGCUAAUCACACUUGGAAGAAAUUACAGAAAGAGAAGCAGGGGAAGGAAAGUGCAUUUUUAUUGCCAGGAGAAACUAUAUGGGGCUCGGCUACAAAGCGUUUACAUAGUUUGCUGCACACAAAAAGCUGUUUGCAGUGUGUUUCAAUAGAUGACACAGUAUCCCAGAUUAUUCCCCUGAACUUUCGGAAGCAGACUCUCAACAACAAUGUGUUCUGUGUUUGAGUUCAAGGAGCAUACAAUUUGCUACUACCAAUUUCAGUGGCUAUAAAGAAACUUGAAGGAAAUGCACCACGCCUUUCAAAUAUUCCAGAGAUAUUCAGACAACUGAAUUAAAGUCUAACUGAGUUUUUGCCUUCUUCACCUAUAACCAAAAAAGUAGUAGUAAAACAAAUGCUUACUAAGAGGUCUCAGUUUUGCUCUCAUCCAGCUCGUCUGGCAGCAAACCUUUUGGAUCCUCAACACAGAGGACAACAUUUAUCAGAAAAUGAAUUACCUACUGCUCUCAAUACAAUUAUGGAAGUAAGAUUAGAAUGUCCCCAACAUCGAUGCCAUAGCUGUGACGACAGACACUGCCCAGUACUGCGCAACAGAAAAACACUGGAGCAAAGACAUUAUUUGGCUGGCAGCAGAGAAUACGUCUCCCCUCACAUGGUGGAAGGGAUAUUGCAUUGCCCAACUGUUGUCCAGGACUGCUUUAAAGAAUCUAAGCAUUCCACCAACAGCAGUUUCUUGUUAACGGAACUGGAAGGCUUUCAGCUCAAUUAAGACAAAAAAGAGGAAUAGUCUAACAAACGAAUACACCACUAAGCUUGUUUUCAUUUCUCAAAAUCUCUUGCUUCUGGAAAAAUCAGUCAGAAGCACAAUUACUGAAGAAGAUGCAGUGUAAUAAAAAGUCACGCUUGCCCAUAGACUCAUUGGUAAAACCAUCCCUUAGAAAAAGAGAACAUGGUUCAAGUAGUUUUGAAUCAGAUUUGCCUCAAUCUGAUUCUGAAAUGGAACUAAUAAGUAGUGGAAGUGAUUCUACAGAUAGUGACAGUGAAACUGGAGGUGCCGCAACGACCUCUGUGAAAGAGAGUUAAAUUCUGUUGAAGUAGAUGAGUGGACAACCACGGCAUAUUGUGCACAGUUUUUUGGGUGUGCUAAAAUUAGUGUGUUAACAGUUUUCAGUGCCUCCGUUUUUCCCCUUAAAUUUAAAUAAACAAUGUAAGGGAAGUA